AUUCCAGCUCCAAUAGCGUAUACUAAAGUUGUUGCAGUUAAAAAGCUCGUAGUUGAAUUUCUGGUCGUGGCGACCGGUCUGCCCCUCACGGGGUGUGCACCUGGUCUCUGCGUCCAUCCUCGGGGAGAGCGCGUCUGGCAUUCAGUUGUCGGGCGCGGGAUCCUCGUCAUUUACUGUGAGCAAAAUAGAGUGUUCAAAGCAGGCUUAGGCCGUUGAAUACAUUAGCAUGGAAUAAUAAGAUAGGACCUUGGUCUAUUUUGUUGGUUUGCAUUCCAAGGUAAUGAUUAAUAGGGAUAGUUGGGGGUAUUCGUAUUCAAUUGUCAGAGGUGAAAUUCUUGGAUUUAUGGAAGACGAACUACUGCGAAAGCAUUUACCAAGGAUGUUUUCAUUA
rnacentral:rRNA from 1 species